rnacentral:rRNA from 1 species
GACGAACGCUGGCGGCGUGCUUAACACAUGCAAGUCGAACGGAAAGGCCCUGCUUUUGUGGGGUGCUCGAGUGGCGAACGGGUGAGUAACACGUGAGUAACCUGCCCUUGACUUUGGGAUAACUUCAGGAAACUGGGGCUAAUACCGGAUAGGAGCUCCUGCUGCAUGGUGGGGGUUGGAAAGUUUCGGCGGUUGGGGAUGGACUCGCGGCUUAUCAGCUUGUUGGUGGGGUAGUGGCUUACCAAGGCUUUGACGGGUAGCCGGCCUGAGAGGGUGACCGGCCACAUUGGGACUGAGGUACGGCCCGGACGCAUACGGGGGGCAACAGUGGGAAAUAUUGCACAAUGGGCGGAGGCCUGAUGCAGCAACGCCGCGUGCGGGAUGACGGCCUUCGGGUUGUAAACCGCUUUCGCCUGUGACGAGGCGUGAGUGACGGUAAUGGGUAAAGAAGCACCGGCUAACUACGU